rnacentral:rRNA from 1 species
UGGCGGACGGGUGAGUAACGCGUGAGUAACCUGCCUUUCAGAGGGGAAUAACGUUCUGAAAAGAACGCUAAUACCACAUAACGUACAGUUACCGCAUGGUAGCAGUACCAAAGGAGCAAUCCGCUGAAAGAUGGACUCGCGUCCGAUUAGCUAGUUGGUGGGGUAAAGGCCUACCAAGGCGACGAUCGGUAGCCGGACUGAGAGGUUGAACGGCCACAUUGGGACUGAGACACGGCCCAG